ACAGAACGUCCCAUCACUACUGGACAUGCUUAUUUUGUGGACUGUAUCCUGCCUUUACCUGCUCCCUCCUAUACUGAUGUGGUGUAUGUGGUAUUGCUGAGCUUGUAUGUGGUGGAAGCAGAAUAUGUGAGGAUUACUACUGCAUGUUCCAAGGCUUUUUACACAACUUGACCAAUACACUGACCAGCUCAUAAAAGUCUUCAAGAAAAAAGGAGGCGUUGCAGGGAAGAAAAUUAGACAAACUUUGGCCCCAGCCACACAGAAGGAAAGUAUUGAAAAGGGGAGGGAGUGUGUCCUCAGGGCACUACCUUUUUACCUGAAUGAAGACCCAAGCAUCCUCUUCAAAGAAUAAUUGGUUGGUAAUUUUAGUUUAGUUUUUUAUCUGUAUUAAACCAAAUUUUGAAUAACUAAUGUUGUUGCAUGUUGUUGUUGUUGUAAUUUGCAUGGAACCUGUUUAAAUGUUUUGGGAAAUCUUCUUGUAUACCCAAACUAUUUAUAUUUAUCGUUGAAUCUGUAGUCUGAAAUAGUGGCACACUGGGGUGCAUGUUCCUAAUAUUGUGUUUACGUCAUUAAAGGGUAGCUUUGGCCCUUUUUCUUUCUUUUUUUUAAAACUGUUUUUCUAUGUUUUUGUGUCUAAGCUACAGCUGUUCAGAGGGAGCUGGAACAAAUUACCCUUGCUAUCUUUACCAUCGAAAGAGCUGAUGCCAGCACUCCUCCAGCCGAUGUGGGUAUAACCAUCUAGUGUGUCCUGCAUGACCUGGAAGACCUGGCCUCUGCAUGUGCACUCUUAAUGGGUGGGAUAUAUGCACUGAAUCUCAGUUAACCUCAAGACUGAAAGCUUUCUUUGAAGUACUUCAGAAGCUCUUCCUUCAUCUGUAUGUCAGCAUACUCUUGACCAAGGUACAAUUGCUCAAGAAUACACUGAAUGAAUAAGCCAACCUUUAAUUUGGAUGAUGAAUGUUCUGUCAGAUGGACAGAAGUUUUUCGGAGGCUGAAUGGGAAUAAAAUGGUAAUUUGUAAAUGACAGAUAACGGGAAAAUUACAUUUAAGAGAAAUUUAGAACAUUUUGAAAAGUUUGUAAACUACUACAAUUUGAGAGAUUUUACUGUUGUGGGGGGCUAGUAAGAGACAAUCAAAAGUAUUGAGAUUUAAAGGAUUUAAUUGAGAGAUGAUACUGCACCAGAAAUGUUGAAGGGUGGUGUGUAUAUUAGCGUUCAAGGCAUAUUGUUAUGAGGUGGAAAUAUGUUCAUAUUCAGUUUGUGUUACAUUGUGUGCAUUGUAAAGGUAAUUGCAAUACAUACUAAAAAUAAGGGUAAGUUAGGAGGUUGAUCUGAUAUCCUCGUGUUGGUGUUGUUCCCAGAUCAUCAUACUAAAUGUUGUUCCAGGAUCAACAUUGCAAGUGACCAAUCAGAAUGUUGUGACGUCAUACUUUUGCGACUUCGGGAAAAACCGGCGUAAAACAAAAAACUGUACUUAAGCUGCGUGAAACCGCCUCUGCCCGCCGAUCAACUGACCCUAACCCUAACCCUAACCCUUUAAUAAACAGUAAGCAGAAUUGAUAUUGUCCUUGCACGAAUGGCUUGGCGCGCAAAAGAAUAACGUCACAACAAUGUGACAACAUUUUCAUGAUGGUCUGGGAACAACACCAACACGAGGAUAUCAGAUCAUCCAAGUUGGGAAUGCAGGAUGAAUGUAUAUUUUGUGGACUUUUAAAGACGAACAAUUGUUUCCAUGUUAAAAUGUUUACAUCUGAAGUUUUUUGCCCAAACACUAGUAAAAUAAAUGUUGACAGUGGCAAGUGUUAAAUGGUUACUGCUGUGCUGUUGCAAAAAAACUGAACGCUGACAAGCUUACAUAAAUUUUUUUUAAAUUGUGGCUGUUGAGGUGGACACUUCACUUUGCAUUGUUAAAGGAAAGCACUUCAUUGGCAUUGUGUUACUGGACUGACCCUAAGCAAUCAUUGCAAAUAGCAACUUUGCUAUCCAUUUUAGACACUAAAAGAAAAAAACACUCACAGACCUUACUAGCAUCACAUGUGCAUAACUCAAGUGUCAUCUUAUCAAUGUGUUAUGUGAUCUUCAAUGCGUUUUUUUUUUCUCUCUUCUAUUUCUGGUAGAUACAGACAUUUAAUUUAAAGUCUUGAUGUUGCAUCUGUCUACAUACUGUUAAUUACUAACCCUAAUGAGCUGUUGUGUUUUAUUUUGGACUGGG
ensembl:lncRNA